rnacentral:rRNA from 1 species
UACGUAGGGAGCGAGCGUUGUCCGGAUUCAUUGGGCGUAAAGAGCGCGCAGGCGGUUUGGUAAGUCGGGUGUGAAAGCCCGGGGCUCAACCCCGGACCUGCAUCCGAAACUGCCCGACUAGAGGUAGGUAGGGGAGAUCGGAAUUCCUGGUGUAGCGGUGAAAUGCGCAGAUAUCAGGAGGAACACCGGUGGCGAAGGCGGAUCUCUGGGCCUUACCUGACGCUCAGGCGCGAAAGCUAGGGGAGCGAACAGG